rnacentral:tRNA from 1 species
UAGAAAGUAAUAUAAGGGAAGUAUGGAGGAUUUUGAUUUCUCUAGUACAGGUUCGAUUCCUGUUUUUCUAA